UAUGUGUACUGCAACCUUAUUUUGAAGGGGAUAAAUGAUCUGUUAAAAAAAUGGCUGUUAUGUUCUCAUAAACUCAUCCAACACUACAAUGCCAAGGAAGCAGAUGGUGUCACAUGUAAAGAGGCCAGCGAUCGAGUAGCCUUACCCAAUUAUCUACAAGAAAAGAAGGCCAUCGCCUUCAGAUGCAUGUGGUCUAAAGCAAGUUUUGUUUCUAAAUGUAGAUUUGCAAAUUACUUUGCAGUUGGUGUGACUAUCCAGACGGCGAAACGGUUCAAGGUUACUAUUGACCUGCUGGGCCAUUCUGAAAAAGAUUCAGAGGCAACACGCUUGCAGCGAAGAUUCACGGUGAAGACACGUAUAACUGUAUAAGGUAGACUGCAGAACUUUAGUUCUGCCUUCUCUGGUACCAGCGAGGCCGGACUGAUGCCCACAAAGAUGAUACGUCAUUACUGUUUUUGCCUGAGACCUACAUAGAAGCUUUCCUGGCCAUGUGGUAAAAGGAGAUGUUGUUGGAGCACCACUCAGAAGCAUCGUGGGUUUACUUAGACAAUACGAACCACAAGCGCCAGGUUUGUAGAGCAGAUUGAUGCAAUUUGAGCAGACAGGAAGAGGAGAAGAAGAGCCUCUAAUUGAGAAGCAUAAUGAUUGACGAAGGAAAACAUGAAGAGAAUAAGAAAAACACAAAUUUAGGCUGAUUGUUCUUCCUAUCAUCAUAAAUAUAAAUCUUCCUUAUGA